UUUCUCCAGUCAUAUGAACUUUGUUUUUACUUGCAAUUAUAUGUAAUUAUAUAUGCAGCUUGUCCUAUGUAUUGUUGGAUCUACAAGUGAAUUGUACUGGUGUUGUCUCCUGUAUUUCAUGUUUUCGUAGUCAAGAGAUGGUCAUGUUUGCAGUAGAGCUUGUGCUUGUCCUCUUUAUCAACGGAGGUAUAUUUUCUCCAUUACAUGAUGCUAUUUUCCGCUAGCCUGCAGAUCUGCAAAUUAGAAAAA